AAGAAAAUAGGUUAAUAGAGGCCAAAAAAAUAAAACAUGGUCGCUAAAAAUAACCUUUUAGCGAUAAAAAAUAAGUAACGCCACUAAAUUAAUAUAAAUCUUUAUAUUAAUUACAAAAGAGAAAAAUUGGCCGCUAAUUUUUGAUAUUAGCCGCGAUCUCCAACCUCUCUCCCAUGCAACUACUAAAAAAACCAUUUUACUACAAUAUUAUAUGACAUUUUUAAUUAUAUAUCAUAAAAGAAAUCUAUUAGACCUAACUUCCUUCUCCCGGGCUAAGUGCGCGUGCGAUUUCUUUCUCCAAGGAGAUCACGCUCGGUGAGGAUUUCUUCCUCUUCCUCCUGAUCGAAUGUGUCGAUAUGCCCGCAAUUGGCUCGCGACACCAUUCCUCUUCCUUCAGAUCGAAUGCCUGUGCUUGGCUUGCAGUUUCUUUCUCUCGACAUCAUCACAUGGCUUGCAGUUUCUUCUUCCAAUUGAUUGCUUCGGUAUGCCACAUCUCCCUCCUGAAAGCCUACUUCCUUUCAAAGACAUAUUGCUCCGCCAAUUCUUUGCGAUUUCGCUGGUCUACCAUCGCUUGCAAAGAUAAAGAAGGAUGUUUGUGUUCCUUUCUCAAAGCUUGCGGAUUGCAUAUCAAAAUCAAAACAGAUUCUUGAUGAAUCACCAUUGCUGUGCACAGUAAUAUUGUGCAUGCUUGUGAUGGGAAUUUUCAUACUUUUGUCUUAUUUUACCUAUAGCAAGAGGAACAGAAAUGAGAAGCAGAGAGGCUAAAACAACUUCAUGGUUCACACGACCUUGUCAAUGGAAGGUACAUGCUACAUGUUUAGAGAUAUAAGAAGUAUCAGCCCCAUGCAUGCUAACCAUAAACACAUCAUGAUAAAACUUAUAGUAAGAUGGAUAUUUUAUUUUUAUCAACUUAUCUAGCGAAACCUAAGAAGAUGAGGAAACCUCAGAUUAUUGAUUCAUCUUAUAAAUUUUAAACAGGAACAUGCACAGGAGAGCAUGGUUUUGUCACUAGUAAAAUGAAAGUGUGUUUUCUCCAAAUGCAGCUUUAAUUCUGAAACUUGCUUUUAUGUUAUAGUUUUGUAAUUUUUAGCAUUUUUUGACAUCUUUAAGGUUUUCAUUCUUAUGAUUCCCUUUUUGUAGCCAUUGCUUCUACUGCUCACAAAACUCUACUUCUCUAUUACUCUAUUAUCUUAUCUUAGCCACUUUUAUAUUAAAUCCUGAAUUACAUAAAAAUAAAUUGUUGUUGGGUUUUAAGUAGUCUCUGCUAUUUCAUUUUCAAAUGAUGUUAUGCUAUGGUUGAUAUCAUAAUAUAAUUUAGUUUUAUAGUUUUUAUUUUAUACAUGGAGGUGUUGAUAUACUGACUUGUCACUCGGGGAAUCAUCAUUGAAGAAAGAAUGAUGCAGUUGAUAAAUAAAAAGAUGACUUUAGAGCACUAUUAUCCAUAUAUCAAGGUUGCUUUUGGUCAGUGGUAUAGCUUCAACGAUGCUCAUAUUUCACUUUCAAGCAGCCAAGAGGUUUUGUAAGAAAAGAUAUACAUUCUAUUCUAUUUGCAUUGCAAUCAGCAUCAGAAGUCUACUAAAGUUGGUUCACCCUGCCAAGGCUAUCCUACAAUCUAAAGUUCGUUUGGAGGAGCCAAGGAGUACAUAUGAUAUUGAUUAUUCGUCUGCGAUUAGUAAGAGAUCUGCCAUUGUGAAAAAUCAUGGUACACAGUUAACAGUUUAUCAAAUAGAAAUGCAAGAUGCAUAUCACCGUUAAAUAAUCCACACGAGGACAAAUCUAAUUCUAAUCCGGUGACUGGCAGAAAUGAUCCUAGAUUUGACGGCUUAUUUGAUACCAUGCUUGUUAGUAGACAGAACUAGAUGUUAUAGCCAAUUAUUUUGUAAACAUUCAGAUUUUUUAUUGAUGAUUUCAAAGAUCAUAUUUUUUUAUUUUAAUU